UGGUCUGAGUGGGGAGGAGAAACUGAAAACGCUGUUAUUGGCAGAGAGGUUUGGAACUCUGUCUUAUUGGUCUAUAGAGGGCUUGCAGUUAACAUAAAAAGCGUCCUGGCGGCCACGUUGGAAACCACCGCAUUACUUCUUCAGACAACAAUAACUGACCGCCUACCCCAAACUGCAAGAUAACAUCAAAUGGAGUACUUGGCUUCUCUAACAAGACAGGAAAGACAACAGGAAAAAAAUAUGUUUACAGAUUCCCCGCAAUCAUGAAACGCCAUUGGUGACACCAAGGUUCACCAGCUGACUUCUCAAGACACCCAUGUCAAUUGGAUUACCACUGAAGAUGAGCAAUGCUGCAGCAGCAUCAGUUUCUACUUCACCAUUUUCCAGAUAUGAAAGGAGACAUCCCUCAAUUAUACAAUAUGAUUGUGAUCAAAGCACAGCAUAUAAAUGUAAACGCUUCUGUUGUGCCUUCACCUUGUCGUCAUAGAAAAAGUGCCCUCUUACACCAUAUUAAUAUAUGAAAUGUAAUUUGGAAGGUGUAAAACUUGUUUACGAUAUUGUAAAUGUAUUGUACUUUAAUAACAGGCUACAGUGUUGUAUGGGUGAAAUAAAGUAUUGUCAGCUCUGCGUUGCCUAGCCCCAUUGAAUAAAAUGUAUUCUUAUACCCCAAC